rnacentral:rRNA from 1 species
UACGUAGGGGGUUAGCGUUAUCCGGAUUUACUGGGCGUAAAGGGUGCGUAGGCGGUCUUUCAAGUCAGGAGUGAAAGGCUACGGCUCAACCGUAGUAAGCUCUUGAAACUGUAAGACUUGAGUGCAGGAGAGGAGAGUGGAAUUCCUAGUGUAGCGGUGAAAUGCGUAGAUAUCGGGAGGAACACCAGUGGCGAAGGCGACUUCCUGGCACAAUACUGACGCUCAUGUGCGAAAGCUAGGGUAGCGAACGGGAUUAGAUACCCCGGUAGUCCCUGAG